rnacentral:lncRNA from 1 species
UCAACCUCCAUGUCCAAAGUCGGAUCUACCUUUUUAAUCUGUAUGUAUAACAAAGACAAAAAUAUCCUAGUAUUCAUCAGAUUUUAUCUAUCUACGAUACAAAAUAAUCAACAUGCCAUUGAAUUUAUAACAGGGGUAAAGUCGGAAAAAACUCCAACAAACUAUACCUGUUGUCCCAGAUUAGUCAGGAAACUUUUUUUGUCCACAUUGGGUCCUUGAACAAGUAUUUUUGUGGCUAUAGAAGAGUCAACAUUUUAAAGUUGACUUAACCGGUAAACCUGCUAUUGCCAACCCAUAAGGACCUAAUAUGAAACAAUGGGCAUAGUUUGUUGGAGUUUUUUCCCUUUACAACUAAUAUUAGGCAGGUGAUGGAACAUGAUAUGAAACUAACCUCCUUCGAUGAUGUGCUUGUAGCAGGUGCAUUUGAUGUCUCUAUUGGCCCAGGGCAAACAACUGUU